rnacentral:rRNA from 1 species
UGAGGAAUAUUGGUCAAUGGGCGGGAGCCUGAACCAGCCAAGUAGCGUGAAGGAUGAAGGUUCUAUGGAUUGUAAACUUCUUUUACAGGGGAAUAAAGUGCACCACGUGUGGUGUUUUGUAUGUACCCUAUGAAUAAGGACCGGCUAACUCCGUGCCAGCAGCCGCGGUAAUACGGAGGGUCCAAGCGUUAUCCGGAAUUACUGGGCGUAAAGAGCACGUAGGCGGUAUCCUAAGUCAGAUGUGAAAGACCAGGGCUCAACCCUGGGGUUGCAUACGAUACUGGGGAACUAGAGUGCAGGAGAGGAAAGUGGAAUUCCUAGUGUAGCGGUGAAAUGCGUAGAUAUUAGGAGGAACACCAGUGGCGAAGGCGGCUUUCUGGACUGUAACUGACGCUGAGGUGCGAAAGCCAGGGUAGCGAACG